rnacentral:rRNA from 1 species
CCUACGGGUGGCUGCAGUGGGGAAUAUUGCACAAUGGGGGAAACCCUGAUGCAGCGACGCCGCGUGAGUGAAGAAGGAUUUCGGUAUGUAAAGCUCUAUCAGUAGGGAGGAAGAAAGAGGGUACCUGACUAAGAAGCCCCGGCUAACUACGUGCGAGCAGCCGCGGUAAUACGUAGGGGGCAAGCGUUAUCCGGAUUUACUGGGGGUAAAGGGAGCGUAGACGGCUGUGCAAGUCUGAAGUGAAAGCCCAGGGCUUAAACCUGGAACUGCUGUGGAAACGGUGGAGCUAGAGUGCUGGAGAGGUAAGUGGAAUUCCGAGUGUAGCGGUGAAAUGCGUAGAUAUUAGGAGGAACACCAGUGGCGAAGGCGGCUUACUGGACAGUAACUGACGUUGAGGCUCGAAAGCGUGGGGAGCAAACAGGAUUAGAUACCCCUGUAGUC